rnacentral:rRNA from 1 species
GGAAGGGAUGUAUUUAUUAGAUAAAAAACCAAUGCCCUUCGGGGCUCCUUGGUGAUUCAUAAUAACUUAACGAAUCGCAUGGCCUUGCGCCGGCGAUGGUUCAUUCAAAUUUCUGCCCUAUCAACUUUCGAUGGUAAGAUAGUGGCUUACCAUGGUCUCAACGGGUAACGGGGAAUUAGGGUUCUAUUCCGGAGAGGGAGCCUGAGAAACGGCUACCACAUCCAAGGAAGGCAGCAGGCGCGCAAAUUACCCAAUCCCAAUUCGGGGAGGUAGUGACAAUAAAUACUGAUACGGGGCUCUUUCGGGUCUCGUAAUUGGAAUGAGUACAAUCUAAAUCCCUUAACGAGGAACAAUUGGAGGGCAAGUCUGGUGCCAGCAGCCGCGGUAAUUCCAGCUCCAAUAGCGUAUAUUAAAGUUGUUGCCGUUAAAAAGCUCGUAGUUGAACCUUGGACCUGGCUGAUCUGUCCUCCUAAUCGAGCGCACGGAUUCGGUCGGGUCUUUCCUUCUGGGGAGCCCUAUGCCCUUCACUGGGUGUAGUGGGGAACCAGGACUUUUAC